rnacentral:misc_RNA from 1 species
GAUGAAGAACGCAGCGAAAUGCGAUACUUGGUGUGAAUUGCAGAAUCCCGUGAACCAUCGAGUCUUUGAACGCAAGUUGCGCCCGAAGCCGUCAGGCCGAGGGCACGCCUGCCUGGGCGUCACACGCCGUUGCCCCCCCGCGCCCCGCACCCAACUCUUUGGGAGCGACCGCGGGGCGGGCUGAUGAUGGCCUCCCGUGCGCUCCGCCGCGCGGUUGGCCCAAAUACCGAGUCCCCGGCGACGUGCGCCACGACGAUCGGUGGUUGAGAGACCUCUGUCGCAAGUCGUGCGCGCCCGUCGCGUCACGCGGGCUCGCAUAGCGCCUCGCGCCGCACCCGGUGCGGAGCUUUCAACGCGACCCCAGGUCAGGUGGGGUUACCCGCUGAAUUUAAGCAUAUCAAUAAGCGGAGGA